AUGAUUAUAGUUAAUGAAAUUAGAUUUCUUGAGAAUUCUUAAACUACAUUAAGGUAUAAGUCAGAUUCAACUGUAAGAAAUUAUAUUUCUUGAGAAUUCUUAAACUACAUUAAGGUAUAAGUCAGAAUUCUUAAAGUACAUUAAUAUCUGUUUAUUAAUUAUCUUAGAUAUUAUGCUAAAUUUAUAUAUUAAAAUAUAUUUUUAAUAAUAAUAAUAUUAAUUAAACUAAUGAAUUAUCUUAAAAUUAUGGAGAAAAUGACAAAUUAGCAAAUUCACUUCUUAAAUAAUGAUAUAUAUAUAUAUAUAUGGUCAUUAUUAUCUAUCAUCUUUAGGUGAAAAUUAAAAUAUUAUUACCAAUAAAAUAUUAUAUUUAAUAUUAUUAGUGAAUCUUAACAUUUUCAGUAGAUUUCAUAUUUUGACUUUCUUUUAUAAAAAAGACAAUCAGACUUCUCUUUUCAUUACUAUUGUACAAUAAAAAUAAACAAGAAAAUAUUUUUAAUUACAAUUAGCAAUGGAGAACACGUCUGUCAAACUUGUAUUCUUGCUCUCCCUCAUCAUACCGCUUUGUUCAUAUUUGGUUGAUGCAAGAGAGAUGACAGAAGUGAAUUGCCUCGGCGGCAAAUGUCCUGAAGGAAAGAAAAAUUGUAACUGUUUGUCACCGGUAACCCCUAUGGUGGAGACCAAUGUGGUUUGCCACAAAGAUGACGACUGCAAAAAGUACUGUCCUAAAGGCUGCAAGCCUAGUAAUCCAUGUGUCUGUACGUGUACUCAAUUAGGACAAUGUUUAUGUAAGUGUCAAGCGAUCCAAAACCACCGUAAUUAAAACUUUAAUAAGACAGAGGAGCAAUAGACAAUUCAAAUAUAUAUUUUUAAUAACAUUGUUUUUGUUUAAAUUAA